rnacentral:tRNA from 1 species
UCUAAUAUGGCAGAAUAGUGCAAUGAACUUAAGCUUCAUAUAUAAAGUUAAAACUUUUUUUAGAA